rnacentral:tRNA from 1 species
CCCGCUAUGGUGAAAUCGGUAAACA